rnacentral:rRNA from 1 species
UACGUAGGGUGCGAGCGUUGUCCGGAAUUAUUGGGCGUAAAGAGCUCGUAGGCGGUCUGUCGCGUCGGUCGUGAAAACCUGCAGCUUAACUGUGGGCUUGCGGUCGAUACGGGCAUGACUGGAGUUCGGCAGGGGAGACUGGAAUUCCUGGUGUAGCGGUGAAAUGCGCAGAUAUCAGGAGGAACACCGGUGGCGAAGGCGGGUCUCUGGGCCGAUACUGACGC